rnacentral:rRNA from 1 species
CCGCCUGGGGAGUACGGUCGCAAGAUUAAAACUCAAAGGAAUUGACGGGGACCCGCACAAGCGGUGGAUGAUGUGGAUUAAUUCGAUGCAACGCGAAAAACCUUACCUACCCUUGACAUGUACGGAAUCCUGAAGAGAUUUGGGAGUGCUCGAAAGAGAACCGUAACACAGGUGCUGCAUGGCUGUCGUCAGCUCGUGUCGUGAGAUGUUGGGUUAAGUCCCGCAACGAGCGCAACCCUUGUCAUUAGUUGCUACGAAAGGGCACUCUAAUGAGACUGCCGGUGACAAACCGGAGGAAGGUGGGGAUGACGUCAAGUCCUCAUGGCCCUUAUGGGUAGGGCUUCACACGUCAUACAAUGGUACAUACAGAGGGCCGCCAACCCGCGAGGGGGAGCUAAUCCCAGAAAGUGUAUCGUAGUCCGGAUUGGAGUCUGCAACUCGACUCCAUGAAGUUGGAAUCGCUAGUAAUCGCGGAUCAGCAUGUCGCGGUGAAUACGUUCCCGGGUCUUGUACACACCGCCCGUCACACCAUGGGAGCGGGUUCUGCCAGAAGUAGUUAGCCUAACCGCAAGGGGGGCGAUUACCACGGCAGGGUUCGUGACUGGGGUGAAGUCGUAACAAGGUACCC